AGAGUUUGAUCAUGGCUCAGAUUGAACGCUGGCGGAAUGCUUUACACAUGCAAGUCGAACGAUGAAGCCUAGCUUGCUAGGUGAAUUAGUGGCGGACGGGUGAGUAAUAUAUCGGAACGUGUCCAUUAAUGGGGGAUAACUAAUCGAAAGGUUAGCUAAUACCGCAUACGCCCUGAGGGGGAAAGCUGGGGAUCUUCGGACCUAGCGUUAAUGGAGCGGCCGAUACCUGAUUAGCUAGUUGGUGGGGUAAAAGCCUACCAAGGCAACGAUCAGUAGCUGGUCUGAGAGGACGACCAGCCACACUGGGACUGAGACACGGCCCAGACUCCUACGGGAGGCAGCAGUGGGGAAUUUUGGACAAUGGGGGCAACCCUGAUCCAGCCAUUCCGCGUGAGUGAAGAAGGCCUUCGGGUUGUAAAGCUCUUUCGCAAGGGAAGAAACGAUAUAGGUUAAUAGCUUAUGUUAAUGACGGUACCUUGACAAGAAGCACCGGCUAACUACGUGCCAGCAGCCGCGGUAAUACGUAGGGUGCAAGCGUUAAUCGGAAUUACUGGGCGUAAAGCGUGCGCAGGCUGUUUUGUAAGUCAGAUGUGAAAUCCCCGAGCUCAACUUGGGAACUGCGUUUGAAACUACAAGACUAGAAUA
rnacentral:rRNA from 1 species